rnacentral:rRNA from 1 species
AAUCAACGCUGGCGGCGUGCCUAACACAUGCAAGUCGAACGCGAAAGGGGCUUCGGCUCUGAGUAGAGUGGCGAACGGGUGAGUAACACGUGGGUGACCUACCUUCGAAUGGGGGAUAACGUCCCGAAAGGGACGCUAAUACCGCAUAACAUCCCGUCUUUGAAGAGAUGGAGAUCAAAGCUGGGGAUCGCAAGACCUGGCGUUUGAAGAGGGGCCCGCGUCCGAUUAGCUAGUUGGUGAGGUAACGGCUCACCAAGGCAACGAUCGGUAGCCGGCCUGAGAGGGCGGACGGCCACACUGGGACUGAGACACGGCCCAGACUCCUACGGGAGGCAGCAGUGGGGAAUUGUUCGCAAUGGGCGCAAGCCUGACGACGCAACGCCGCGUGGAGGAUGAAGGUCUUCGGAUUGUAAACUCCUGUUGCCCGGGACGAAACGUUCCGACCUAACACGUCGGAGCUUGACGGUACCGGGUGAGGAAGCCCCGGCUAACUCUGUGC